CGGCAAACCGACGGACAUGCUGUGCACCACCGCACUGUCCUGCUGUCCGAGGCCGAGCGCUCGUCCUCCGCUUGCGAAAUCCCCUCUCCUUCAUCGCCCGGCUCUUCCCCUCUCUUCUCUCUCCAGCUCUCCCACCGGGAGGCGCAACUCGUGGGGCUGGACGUGGACUUGGAGAUGGGUCUCUCGAUUUCUCUCCCUUUACUUGUCCCUCCUCACCUCUGUCUCUGUUUCACAGGCCCACCAGUAUCCUCCCUCUCCUUCCUUCGCUCACGCCUGCGAGGAUGUCCACACUUACUAUGCCCAGCUCGGGACUUCGAGAGGCCAUGCUCUUCAGAAAAAGCUGCAUUCCCUCAUCUCUCCUCAUCGCUCCUUGUCCUACAAGCAGGUGUGGGAUGCCCUCAAGAUCCUCGAUGCUGCUGAUGUCGAUAACCCCGAAGCUUCCCCGGGGUAGUUGAAAUUUAUACUCUCAAGAUCGUGCCAAAGGCUUUAGCUGGGAAGCCUGAGGGAUGGAAUCCAGUUGCAAUAGAUUCAGAAGUGUUCACACGAGUAUACAACUUUUCUAGGGGAGCAUUUAUGGCCUCGUUCUUAUGGGUUAAUUGAUCGCGUGGCACUGAGCGAUUUACACAACCUUCGCCCAUCUGAUAUAAAUGUUAAUUCAUCUAGAGGAAACAAGUACUAUGGAGAAUGUGCUUUUACCUCCGCUAAAUGUCUGAGACCAGCAAACAAGGAAGCUGCUAUUGACACAGAAUCAGAUAGCAAGAGAUGGGCUCCGCCUAGGCAGGUUAGAGGGGAUGUUGCACGGGCAUUAAUGUAUAUGGCUGUCUGCUAUGGGUCUCAUCAACCAGGUGGAGGCCCUGAUCUUCGCCUCUCUGAUUCUCCAAGCAUUGAGAAAAGGGAGAUGGGACUGCUUUCUACACUGCUGAGAUGGAAUAAACUCGAUCCACCUUCAAGGGAAGAGAAGCAGAGAAAUGACCGGAUAUGCAAGUUUUAUCAGCAUAAUAGAAAUCCUUUUGUUGAUCAUCCAGAGUAUGCUGAUCUGAUAUGGAAGCAAAAAUAGUUAUGGCGAUUCAAUCGUGUCAUUGUCAAUAAAAAAUAAAAAAUUAUGGUUAAUCCAUGUAACAUGAACAGACAAACAAUAUGAUUGUACUGUAAGGCGGCAUGUCUAUGUGUGCUGCCAGUCGAUUCAUUUGUCGUCACACCAAAAGGCCCUCAGACUUGCAUUCUAUUACAUUGCUUCCAGUACUUCCCAUUUGACUGGGAGUGUAUACCAAAUGCAGUCCUACUUAUUUAGCUGCUUCUCUU